CGUACAACCACUAUUACCGAGUAACCAUCUUGAAUCCAAUAUAUUUAUAACCUCGCAGUUAAGCACGCUCAAUCUAGAGUAGUACUGGGAUGGGCGAUCACUCGAGAAAUCCUUGUGGUUUACAUGC
rnacentral:rRNA from 1 species